rnacentral:misc_RNA from 1 species
GAUGAAGAACGCAGCGAAAUGCGAUAAGUAAUGUGAAUUGCAGAAUUCAGUGAAUCAUCGAAUCUUUGAACGCACAUUGCGCCCCUUGGUAUUCCGGGGGGCAUGCCUGUUCGAGCGUCAUUAUAACCCCUCAAGCUCAGCUUGGUGUUGGGGCCUGCCGACUGGCAGCCCUUAAAAUCAGUGGCGGCGCCAUCUGGCUCUAAGCGUAGUAAUUUCUCUCGCUAUAGAGUCCCGGUGGAUGCUUGCCAGCAACCCCCAACUUUCUAUGGUUGACCUCGGAUCAGGUAGGGAUACCCGCUGAACUUAAGCAUAUCAAUAACGGAGGA